UUUACGAGCAAGGGGCGACCCCGAUCGUCAAGAGCUUCAGCAAGGAGAGGCUCAAGGAGAACCUCGGGAUCUUCGACUGGGGGCUCACCGACGACGACCUGCGCAAGAUCGGCCAGAUUCCGCAGAAGAAGAUCGUCAGAGCUGAAACCGUGCUGUUCUCGGCGGAGGGCGAGUUCACGUCGGCUGACCUCGCGGAGAUGGAAAUUGUCGAGGAAUAAUAUAGGCACCGAGAAUGCCUUCUUCGCUGUGUGACGUAAACUGCAGUAGCUUGCAUAAAGAGUGGGGAUGAAUAAAGAAGUGAUCCGUGCUGUAUCCUGUUAUUCCUCUUUUCGGAUUCAAGUUGUCAGUGAAGACUGUGAUCACCGUUGCCAUCCGCUCGGAAGUAUUCCCUAAUUUGAACUGCAAAAACGGCUUAUAUUAGUGUACUACUCCCUCCAUUUCAAAAUAAAUGACUAGUACAAAGUUGGA
rnacentral:lncRNA from 1 species